rnacentral:tRNA from 1 species
GUAACUAUGUCAGAAUUGUAUGAGUUAGCUUUAAGCGUUGAUUAUGAGUAGUCUAUGCUCUGGUUAUA